GUUCUGUAUAUAGUUGGUUUUGAUUUUGAACUUGCGGUAAUCAAAAACAAAGUAAAAGGGGAGUCUGAUACAUCUAUUGGCCAAAUGUGUAUCAAGACAAAGUCAUUGUCAGGGAAUCCUUGUCCUGUGAAAGUCUGAUGGAGGUGACUUAUUAUCAUUUAUGCAGGUAUGUAGUUUUAAAUUGGAAUUUCAUCAAGAUGAAAAGCAAUUCUUAAAUAUGAAAGUAUGCAACAUUUGUGUGUUGGUGAAAUGCAUGAAAACAAUAUUUAUAGCUGUGAUUUUGUAGUAGUUUCUAUCUGAGAUUUUUUUCUUAUAUGUGAAAAAAAAACAUAUUAGUAGCAAAUACUGCAAUAGCAAACAGUCCACUCUGACUGAAUCUUAGUUACUUAGGAUAGUCUGUCCAACUUUGCCCCAGGAUAUCAUUUGAAUUGUCUCCUAGAGGAAGGAAUCAAAACCCUCAUACACAAACAUGAUUGGAGUCUCAAACAAUUUUGGAAUCUAAAUUGUAUUUUUCAGUUUAAAACAAAAUUCCUAUUAUAUAUAUAUAUAUAAAUAUAUUAAAAAUGUACAAGGCAGAAAAAGUGGUAUGAUAUGAUUGAAUCACUGGCAUGAAUGAAACAAUUUCUGAGAUUUUUUUCAUCUUUUAUUUUAAAUAGGUAUCACACAGGUUUUCAAUGAUGUUUGCUUUUUUUGCGGGGACUUUGAAGACAUUGCAAACAAUCCUGAAAUAGUUCAGCUCAAGGAAGACUUCAGUAUUGUGCGGCCCAUAUGGACGAAGGAUGCAUUGGAAGAAAAUGAAACCUGCGACCAGGAAUGCCAAAAAAGUUAAAAAGUCCAAAAAUGAACAUUGAACUGUCAUUGUCUGACAUGUCUGUUGUAUUGUAAAAAAAAAAAUAAAAAAAGUAUUUAUACUUGAAUUAAAAUUUGUUUUAAUUCCAGAUAAAGUACAUAGAUACUGACAUAUUAAAGAGUAUUAAAUCAAUCCAUGG
rnacentral:lncRNA from 1 species